rnacentral:pre_miRNA from 1 species
GUUGUUGUAAACAUCCCCGACUGGAAGCUGUAAGACAUAACUAAGCUUUCAGUCAGAUGUUUGCUGCUAC